rnacentral:rRNA from 1 species
UACGUAGGGGGCUAGCGUUGUCCGGAAUCAUUGGGCGUAAAGAGCGCGUAGGCGGCCAGAUAAGUCCGGUGUGAAAGUCAAAGGCUCAACCUUUGAAUGCCGCUGGAAACUGUCUGGCUAGAGUCCGGGAGGGGCGAGUGGAAUUCCUGGUGUAGCGGUGAAAUGCGCAGAUAUCAGGAGGAACACCGGUGGCGAAGGCGGGUCUCUGGGCCGAUACUAACGCUGAGGAGCGAAAGCGUGGGGAGCGAACAGG